ACCUCGGAUCAGGUAGGGAUACCCGCUGAACUUAAGCAUAUCAAUAAGCGGAGGAAAAGAAACCAACAGGGAUUGCCCUAGUAACGGCGAGUGAAGCGGCAACAGCUCAAAUUUGAAAUCUGGCUCUUUUAGGGUCCGAGUUGUAAUUUGCAGAGGGCGCUUUGGCUUUGGCAGCGGUCCAAGUUCCUUGGAACAGGACGUCACAGAGGGUGAGAAUCCCGUACGUGGUCGCUAGCUAUUGCCGUGUAAAGCCCCUUCGACGAGUCGAGUUGUUUGGGAAUGCAGCUCUAAAUGGGAGGUAAAUUUCUUCUAAAGCUAAAUAUUGGCCAGAGACCGAUAGCGCACAAGUAGAGUGAUCGAAAGAUGAAAAGCACUUUGGAAAGAGAGUCAAACAGCACGUGAAAUUGUUGAAAGGGAAGCGCUUGCAGCCAGACUUGCUUGCAGUUGCUCAUCCGGGCUUUUGCCCGGUGCACUCUUCUGUAGGCAGGCCAGCAUCAGUUUGGGCGGUGGGAUAAAGGUCUCUGUCACGUACCUCUCUUCGGGGAGGCCUUAUAGGGGAGACGACAUACCACCAGCCUAGACUGAGGUCCGCGCAUCUGCUAGGAUGCUGGCGUAAUGGCUGUAAGCGGCCCGUCUUGAAACACGGACCAAGGAGUCUAACAUCUAUGCGAGUGUUUGGGUGUCAAGCCCGAGCGCGUAAUGAAAGUGAACGGAGGUGGGAACCCGCAAGGGUGCACCAUCGACCGAUCCUGAAGUUUUCGGAAGGAUUUGAGUAAGAGCAUGGCUGUUGGGACCCGAAAGAUGGUGAACUAUGCUUGAAUAGGGUGAAGCCAGAGGAAACUCUGGUGGAGGCUCGCAGCGGUUCUGACGUGCAAAUCGAUCGUCAAAUUUGGGCAUAGGGGCGAAAGACUAAUCGAACUAUCUAGUAGCUGGUUCCUGCCGAAG
rnacentral:rRNA from 1 species